rnacentral:rRNA from 1 species
GAUGAACGCUAGCUACAGGCUUAACACAUGCAAGUCGAGGGGCAGCAUGAACUUAGCUUGCUAAGUUUGAUGGCGACCGGCGCACGGGUGAGUAACACGUAUCCAACCUUCCGUUUACUCAGGGAUAGCCUUUCGAAAGAAAGAUUAAUACCUGAUAGUAUGGUGAGAUUGCAUGAUAGCACCAUUAAAGAUUUAUUGGUAAACGAUGGGGAUGCGUUCCAUUAGGUAGUAGGCGGGGUAACGGCCCACCUAGCCGACGAUGGAUAGGGGUUCUGAGAGGAAGGUCCCCCACAUUGGAACUGAGACACGGUCCAAACUCCUACGGGAGGCAGCAGUGAGGAAUAUUGGUCAAUGGGCGAGAGCCUGAACCAGCCAAGUAGCGUGAAGGAUGAAGGUCCUACGGAUUGUAAACUUCUUUUAAUACGGGAAUAAAGUAUCCUACGUGUAGGAUUUUGUAUGUACCGUAUGAAUAAGGAUCGGGCUAACUCCGUGCCAGCAGCCGCGGU